rnacentral:rRNA from 2 species
UGGGGAAUAUUGGGCAAUGGGGGAAACCCUGACCCAGCGACGCCGCGUGAGGGACGACGGCGCUAUGCGUUGUAAACUUCUUUUGUCAGGGAAUAAAUGUAGGUACGUGUACUUACUUGAAGGUACCUGAAGAAUAAGCAUCGGCUAACUCCGUGCCAGCAGCCGCGGUAAUACGGAGGAUGCAAGCGUUAUCCGGAUUCAUUGGGUUUAAAGGGUGCGCAGGCGGAUUGGUAAGUCAGGGGUGAAAUCCCACAGCUCAACUGUGGAACUGCCUUUGAUACUGUCAGUCUAGAGUAUAGUUGAAGUUGGCGGAAGGUGUCAUGUAGCGGUGAAAUGCUUAGAUAUGACACAGAACACCGAUCGCGAAGGCAGCGAGCUAAGCUAUAACUGACGCUCAUGCACGAAAGCGUGGGGAUCAAACAGG